CUGUUAUCUACCUGGUGUUCAAUGCCAAUGGAGAAGUCAUUAGCACCAAGUCUCAAUCGUAUGCCAAUCAACAAAAUGUGAUGAAGUUUACAAACAGUUUAAAAGGAUUCUCAUUGAAUAGACCUCUCCCAUUGUUUAAGAGUCUUCUAACGCAGAGAUUUCCUUUCGGUGGUGUACUGGAGCCCAGCUGUUAUUACUUCAUCCCUACAGACAUCAGUGACACCCCUGUAUCUAAUACUUUGUGCCAUGGUUAUGAGUCAGGAGACGGAGUAGUCA